AGCAGCCGCAGUAAUUCCAGCUCCAAUAGCGUAUAUUAAAGUUGUUGCAGUUAAAAAGCUCGUAGUUGAAUUUCGGGAUCAAUAUGCUGGUCGUGCCUUUGGUACGUACUGGCAUUAUUGGUUUCUCCUUUCUGAUGAAUCACGAUGUCAUUAAUUUGGUGUCAUGGGGAAUCAGGACUGUUACUUUGAAAAAAUUAGAGUGUUUAAAGCGGGCUUACGCUUGAAUACAUUAGCAUGGAAUAAUGAAAUAGGACGUUUAAUUCUAUUUUGUUGGUUUCUAGGAUUGACGUAAUGAUUAAUAGGGAUAGGUUGGGGGCAUUAGUAUUCAAUUGUCAGAGGUGAAAUUCUUGGAUUUAUUGAAGACUAACUACUGCGAAAGCAUUUGCCAAGGAUGUUUUCAUUAAUCA
rnacentral:rRNA from 1 species